rnacentral:rRNA from 1 species
AGAGCGAACGCUGGCGGCAGGCCUAACACAUGCAAGUCGAACGGACCCUUCGGGGUUAGUGGCGGACGGGUGAGUAACACGUGGGAACGUGCCUUUUGGUUCGGAAUAGCUCCUGGAAACGGGUGGUAAUGCCGAAUGUGCCCUUCGGGGGGAAAGAUUUAUCGCCAUUAGAGCGGCCCGCGUCUGAUUAGCUAGUUGGUAAGGUAAUGGCUUACCAAGGCGACGAUCAGUAGCUGGUCUGAGAGGAUGACCAGCCACAUUGGGACUGAGACACGGCCCAAACUCCUACGGGAGCAGCAGUGGGGAAUCUUGCGCAAUGGGCGAAAGCCUGACGCAGCCAUGCCGCGUGAAUGAUGAAGGUCUUAGGAUUGUAAAUUCUUUCACCGGGACAUAAUGACGGUACCGGAGAAGAAGCCCCGGCUAACUUCGUGCCAGCAGCCGC